GCCAGCAGCCGCGGUAACACCGGCGGCCCGAGUGGUGAUCGUGAUUAUUGGGUCUAAAGGGUCCGUAGCCGGUUUGGUCAGUCCUCCGGGAAAUCUGAUAGCUCAACUAUUAGGCUUUCGGGGGAUACUGCCAGACUUGGAACCGGGAGAGGUAAGAGGUACUACAGGGGUAGGAGUGAAAUCUUGUAAUCCCUGUGGGACCACCUGUGGCGAAGGCGUCUUACCAGAACGGGUUCGACGGUGAGGGACGAAAGCUGGGGGCACGAACCGGGUUAGAUACCCGGGUAGUCCCAGCCGUAAACGAUGCUCGCUAGGUGUCAGGCAUGGCGCGACCGUGUCUGGUGCCGCAGGGAAGCCGUGAAGCGAGCCACCUGGGAAGUACGGCCGCAAGGCUGAAACUUAAAGGAAUUGGCGGGGGAGCACAACAACGGGUGGAGCCUGCGGUUUAAUUGGACUCAACGCCGGACAACUCACCGGGGGCGACAGCAAUAUGUAGGCCAAGCUGAAGACUUUGCCUGAAUCGCUGAGGGGAGGUGCAUGG
rnacentral:rRNA from 1 species